rnacentral:rRNA from 1 species
UAUCUCUGUAGAGUCUGCAUAUCAAUAAGCGGAGGAAAAGAAACUAACAAGGAUUCCCUUAGUAACGGCGAGUGAAGCGGGAAGAGCUCAAAUUUGAAAUCUUCAAGGUUCUACCUUGACGAAUUGUAGUUUAAAGAAGUGUUUUCUGUUAGACUGAGUAGCAAAAGUUCCUUGGAAUGGGACAUCAUAGAGGGUGAGAAUCCCGUAUUUGGUUACUCAUUCUAGCUUUGUGAUACACUUUCAAAGAGUCGGAUUGUUUGGGAAUGCAGUCCAAAAUGGGUGGUAAAUUUCAUCUAAACUAAAUAUUGGCGAGAGACCGAUAGCGAACAAGUACCGUGAGGGAAAGAUGAAAAGAACUUUGAAAAGAGAGUUAAACAGUACGUGAAAUUGUCAAAAGGGAAGCGUUUGACACCAGUGUUGUUUUUCCGAAAAUCAAUUACGAAUGGCCUGAUUUUGUGUUGUAUUGACCUUAUCAGCUUUCUUCACUUUUUUCGAGUCUUUCUUAAUGCACUUUUCGGUUAACAAGUCAACAUCAAUUUCUUUUGUUGUAAAAGAGUAUUCGGAAGGUGGCUUUCUUUUCGGAGAAAGUGUUUAUAGCCCUAUACUUCUACAAUCGGAGAGAUUGAGGUCUGCAGCGUAGAUCCUUCGGGGUUAGAUACACUUUGUGCUAAGUUGUAGCUUUUCAUAGACAACUUGUUGACUAUGUUUAGUCAUGCGGCUUACUCGCUUAGUGCUAUUUUACCUACGCUUAGGAUGUUGACUGAUAUGUAGUCGUA